rnacentral:misc_RNA from 1 species
GAUGAAGAACGCAGCGAAAUGCGAUACGUAAUGUGAAUUGCAGAAUUCAGAGAAUCAUCGAAUCUUUGAACGCAUAUUGCGCUCUCUGGUAUUCCGGAGAGCAUGCUUGUUUGAGUAUCAGUAAACACCUCAACUCCCUUUUCUUUUUUGAAAUGGGAGCUGGACUUGAGUGAUCCCAACACUUUUCUCACUGGAAAGUGGCGGGUCACUUGAAAUGCAGGUGCAGCUGGACUUUUCUCUGAGCUAUAAGCAUAUCUAUUUAGUCUGCCUAAAAAACAGAUUAUUACCUUUGCUGCAGCUAACAUAAAGGAGAUGAGUUCUUGUGCUGACUGAUGCAGGAUUCACAGAGACAGCUUUGCGGCUGACUUUGUAAACUCGAUCUCAAAUCAAGUAAGACUACCCGCUGAACUUAAGCAUAUCAAUAAGCGGAGGA